rnacentral:rRNA from 1 species
UACGGAGGGUGCAAGCGUUAUCCGGAUUCACUGGGUUUAAAGGGUGUGUAGGCGGGCAUUUAAGUCAGUGGUGAAAUCCCCGGGCUCAACCUGGGAACUGCCAUUGAUACUAUUUGUCUUGAAUUCUGUUGAGGUGGGCGGAAUACAUCAUGUAGCGGUGAAAUGCUUAGAUAUGAUGUAGAACACCGAUUGCGAAGGCAGCUCACUAAGCAGCGAUUGACGCUGAGGCA